CAAAAACAUCGCCUCUUGCCCAAACAUAAGAGGUCCCGCCUGCCCUGUGACUUAGUUUAACGGCCGCGGUACUUUAACCGUGCAAAGGUAGCACAAUAAAUUGUUCUCUAAAUAAGGACUAGUAUGAACGGCACCACGAAGGCUCAACUGUCUCCCCCCUCCAAUCAAUGAAACUGAUCUUCUCGUGAAGAAGCGAGAAUAAAAAUAUAAGACGAGAAGACCCCAUGGAGCUUUAAACUUAUCCUAACAAUUACUUACAUUAAUCCACAACACACAGUAAAUAUGAUCUUGAAGUUUUCGGCUGGGGUGACCCUGGAGUAAAAAAAACCCUCCAGAAUGAACGGAUUAAAAACCCUAAUCAAAGAGUUACAACUCAAAGAAUCAAAAAUUUGACAUUAAUGAUCCAAUUUAUUGAUCAACGAAACAAGUUACCCUGGGGAUAACAGCGCAAUCCAUUUCAAGAGCCCCUAUCGACAAAUGGGUUUACGACCUCGAUGUUGGAUCGGGGUAUCCCAGUGGCGCAGCCGCUACUAAAGGUUCGUUUGUUCAACGAUUAAUAACCCCACGUGAUCUGA
rnacentral:rRNA from 1 species